UUUUUCAGAGUUCAUGCGUAACGACGCAAAGAUGUUCAAUCAGCUAUGCUGUAAUACUGGUCUCUAUUGCAGAGAUUACAGAGAAGACAUCCAAGAGGAGCCAGCCGAGAUACCACCUGCACUAAUAGAUGCCACAGAACAAAUUGAGGAAACAGUAGAGGUUCCACCAGCGAAACGCCCGAGGACAUCGAGGAAUCGCAAACAAAGUGAAGAUUCGAG